CAGAAAUCCUCCUCAUCAAAAACAUGACUUUGAUCUGCGUCCUCAUCUGGACUCUCCUCUGCUUCACUCAGGGAUCUGAUGGACAAAAUGUUGUUGUGACUCAAUCAGCAGCCAAAUCAGUGCAGCUUGGUCAGACUGUCACUAUUGACUGUAAGGCCAGU